rnacentral:rRNA from 1 species
GAUGAACGCUGGCGGCGUGCCUAAUACAUGCAAGUCGAGCGAACGGACGAGAAGCUUGCUUCUCUGAUGUUAGCGGCGGACGGGUGAGUAACACGUGGAUAACCUACCUAUAAGACUGGGAUAACUUCGGGAAACCGGAGCUAAUACCGGAUCAUAUUUUGAACCGCAUGGUUCAAAAGUGAAAGACGGUCUUGAUGUCACUUAUAGAUGGAUCCGCGCUGCAUUAGCUAGUUGGUAAGGUAACGGCUUACCAAGGCAACGAUGCAUAGCCGACCUGAGAGGGUGAUCGGCCACACUGGAACUGAGACACGGUCCAGACUCCUACGGGAGGCAGCAGUAGGGAAUCUUCCGCAAUGGGCGAAAGCCUGACGGAGCAACGCCGCGUGAGUGAUGAAGGUCUUCGGAUCGUAAAACUCUGUUAUUAGGGAAGAACAUAUGUGUAAGUAACUGUGCACAUCUUGACGGUACCUAAUCAGAAAGCCACGGCUAACUACGUG